rnacentral:lncRNA from 1 species
GUCGCUGGGGUCGUUCUCCGAAAACUGCGUGACGAUGUGUGGGGACUGUGUGGAGAAGGAGUACCCCAAUCGGGUGAGCAAGUGGGCGCGAAGAGCCUCUCGCAGGCUCGGUGUUCGACCGAUAUUCCUAGACAGGCCAGGGGCCCACUCUGCAGUCCUGUCACCCCAGUGACCCUGAGUACCGGCCGCAGGUUCCCUCUGGUGGCUGACGUCAGCGGUCCUUCCGGUUCUGUUGCUGGGGACAACGGGGAACCCUCAAAAUUACCUACCCACCCAAAUUGACAGCAGCCUCUGAGGCCCUGACGCGAUCCCGGCUUCAUCCUCCAGCUCGACUUGAUGGAAUUCUUUUUACCUCAUUCUGUCGCUGAAUGAACGUAUGAGGUCAUUUUAAAAUCCACCUUUUUUGAGACAGGUUUUGUGUAGCCCAGGCUGGUUUCGAACUCUCUAUGUACCCGAGGAGGAUUUUGUUUGACUUUGAUCCUCCUUCCACAUACCUCUUGAACGCUGGCAUUACAAGCGCGCGCCACUGGGCUCAAUUUAGAAAAUGUUAGGGAUGGAAGUGAGAGCUUGGUGCGGAGGCAAGCUUGCCACCGACUGAGCUACACUUCCAGCCUCUGGUUCUAACCCACGUUUGAAGAUGGCAGAACUGGUCCCCAGAGAGGACCUAUCACCUGCCCAAGUAUGAGAGCCGAGACUAGAUUGUGAUCUCCCUCUCCGCCUCGUCCCGUUCUCUUUUCCUUGCGCCUUCCCUUUCCCCUUCCCUUCUUAGCACUGAGGCCUGACCCCAGCAUGUGUCCCUACCAGGCAAGCACUCUGCCAACAGAACUAUACCCCCUGCUCUUAUUUUAAGCCUUUGCGCCUCUCGGGCUUAGGAGGUUUUGAGGCUUGGCUCUUACUGUUCUUUCAGGGAAUCACUACUGCACGUUGAUGUGUGUAGAGAGUGCUUGGCUGCUCUGUGAAGGAGUGACUGCCAAGGCUCUGGGGCUGCUUCUGGGCUUGCAAUUUGGGGGCAUAGGAUUGACAGGCUGCUGUUUAAACGUAGUGAAAAGGAAGAUUGAGCAGGAAUGGGGCUGCGGUGUUCUCCUUCCACAUAAGGUGGGUUUGGACGAUGAUUUAGAGGAGGAAGGAUCUGCAGGACAAUAGCAAGAUGAAGGACCCUUGAGUUGGCUGGGAGGGAAAACAUCCUCAUAGUUCUUUCUCUUAAUAGUUUGUGAGUGAUGGGCACACACCUCUAAUCCCAGCACUGGGGAGACAGAGGCAAGCAGAUCUCCAAGUUCAAGGCCAGCCUGGUCUAUAGAGCUAGUUUGAGGACAGCUAGAGCUACACUGAGAAACCCUGUCUUGAAAAAACAACAAAAACCCCACAAAAAGAAAACUUCUUUUUUGAGUUAUAUGUAAGUCUUUUGAGAUUGUUAUGUUAGAGGAAUUUUCAUUAUGGUACAACCACUUUGGUUUAUAAAGUCAUUACCAUUCAUUAUCAAAUUUAAAUGUCCCCUGGAAUGACACAGAAGUGCUUAUCCCGGAAAAAUGCACGUGCUCUCAUCUCCUGGCAACGUGUAUAAGAAUGCUUGUAAGAUCAUUAUUUGUCGUAGGCCAGAGCAAAACUCGUGUUCGUAAAAGGAAAUGUCUUAAGAGUAGGGUUGUGGGCUGGAGAGAUGGUUCAGCGGUUAAGAGCACUGACUGCUCUUCUGAAAGUCCUGAGUUCAAUUCCCAGCAACCACAUGGUGGCUCACAACCAUCUGUAAUGGAAUCUGAUGCCCUCUUCUGGUGUGUCUGAAGACAGCUUCAGUGUACUCAUAUAAAGAGUAGGGUUGUGAGUGUGAAUUAGAUUUAGAGUAUCAGCUCUCAAGUGGAAGCGGUUUGGCAAUAUCUAGAGACACUUGAUUGUCACAGUGAAGGCGCUCCUUGGCAUCUAGUGGGUAGAGACCGAGUAUUAUACUGCAGUGCACAGGACAGCCAUCUAACCGAAGGUCUGUAUGCCCCAGUGUCAGUAGUGCAGACGUUAAAGAACCCAGAAUUACAGCAAUGGGAGCACUAGAAUCAGAUACAGCAGCCUGACUUUAGUCUGACAGUAUUGGCGAAAGAACACAUGAAGUGCAGCUUUAAAUGAAGCAGACUAAAUUACAGUAAGACUUUCCUGGUUGGUAAAACAAGAAGUUACUCUAAAGACAUUGUGUUGAUGGCUGCUAGACAGAGUAUGAUCGAGAGUGGUUAUAUAAGGGGCCAGAGAGAUUGCUCGGUGAUUGGUGCUUUUGCAAAGGACCUGGAUUCAGUUCCUGGCAUGGCAGCUAGCAACUGUCUAUAACUCCAGUUCUGGGGAUCCAACUGUCUGGUCUCCAUGAGUACUAGGCAGGCAUUGAUAUACAUGAAAUAACUGUAAAUCUCUCAACAACAAAAAGUCGGAGAGAGGCUUCUGGAAUAUAAGAAGUGGGGGUUUUUUGUUUGUUUUUUUUUUGUUUUUUGUUUUUUUACAUAACUGGUGGUUCUGCUGUUUGCUUAUAAUUAUUGUUAUGUUUCUGCUUUUAUUAUUUUUCUAUAUUGUUUUAGUUCAUACUCUUUUUUAAAAUUUAUUUAUUUAUUAUAUGUAAGUACACUGUAGCUAUCUUCAGACACUCCAGAAGAGGGAGUCAGAUCUCGUUAACGGAUGGUUGUGAGCCACCAUGUGGUUGCUGGGAUGUGAACUCCAGACCUUUAGAAGAGCAGUCGGGUGCUCUUACCCACUGAGCCAUCUCACCAACCCUCAUACUCUUUUUUUUAAUUAGGUAUUUUCUUCAUUUACAUUUCAAAUGCUAUCCCGAAUCCCAAAAGCCCCCCCCAUACCCCCCCUUUUUUUUUAAUCUAGAAAGGGGUUUUUAAUGAGUCUUAAUGAUGGCCAUUGCACACUGGGCACCAUGAGGGAAAGUUUCCUGUGGAGGUUAUUAACAGAGUUGUUAGGGGCUAGAGAGAUAGCUUAGAAGUCAAGAGCAUUUAAUACUGCAGCAGAGACUCCAAGUUCGUUCCCACCACUCCGGCGGCUCACAGCAGCCUUUAGCUCUGGCUCAGGAGAUCCAGUGCUCUCCUCUGGCCUCCACAGGCACUGCACUCAUUACUUAGACACAGACAAAGACAUCUACACGGUUUUUUAUCUUUAAAAAAGACAGUCGGUUCAUUCUUUUCUUCCCCUGCCCCCAGAAGUAGCAAGAUAACUUUAUUCCGGGGAAAAUGCUAGUACAGAUUAAAGGGAGAUGCACUGGGCUGGCACUUGCCCGCCAAGCCCACCAAUCUGAGUUCCAUCUCUAGGACUCACACAGGGAAAGACCAAGUACUGCAAAGUGUCCUCUGACCUCCACAUGUAGAGUAAGUGUGCGCCCGCAAAAGGAAAAGAUGGAACAAGCAGAGAGAUAGACUGUCAUUGGCAUUGAAGAGAAAGGACAGAGAAGUGAGUGGAGAGCCUAGAACAUGCCAUUCUGGUUUUUUUGUUUUUGUUUUUGUUUUUGUGUUUCUGAGACAGAGUUUCUCUGUGUAGCCCUGGCUGUCCUGGAACUCACCCUGUAGACAAGACAGUCCUGGAACUCAGAAAUCCGCCUGCCUCUGCUUCCCAAGCGCUGGGAUUAAAGGUGUGCACCAUCACGCCCGGCUGAAUGUGCCAUUGUGAAGCUGUCAUUCUGUUUGAUAAUCGAAGGGCCGCCCUGAGGAAGAGUUAAGUGCUUCUUUGCAGUUGGAGAAGGCGGAUUUAGAACUAAUUAGUGGGUCGAUAUUAAGACAGUUCCCAGUGCGACUUGAGACCUGGGAUGGAGAACUCUGAAGGAAUUCAGUGCAGUCUUGUUUACUAGAAGCGAAGUGGCCAUUUAAUCCCUAGGUUAAUUAAAUUCAGAAUUCUUUUUCCAGAGCCAGGGAUUCUUCUUUCAAUUAACUGGGACUCAUUAAGGCUAUGGCAUAUAUUUUUAAAGAUUUAUUUUGUUAUUCUUAAUUAAAAGUAUAUGUGGUAUACACCAUGGCAUAUUUUAAAGAAUAUAAGCCACCAUCCACU